GGAAGUGCCGAAAAUAAAGAAGCAAGACCUGAGAGAAUCUUCCACGUGUUCUGAGGCAGAAGACACGUGGAGGCGACUCAUUUUGGGAAUUGAUUGAGGGAUUGGAUUGGUGGCUAGAAUGACAGGAUGAUCUGGGCAUUACUCUAAUAACUAAGGGUAAAUUUGGAAUUUCUCCGAGGUCAUGUGCCUAGCACAUGACCAUUCUCCAGAAAAUCCUAUAAAUACCCCUUCCACUCUAUUGGGAAGGGGACGGCUCUUCAGACUCAAGACUUGGACUCUUGGAAGAUCAAAGGGACCCUUUUGGUGACUUAAAGACUUGGAGAUUCCACCUAAAAGCACUAAAAG
rnacentral:lncRNA from 1 species